rnacentral:rRNA from 1 species
UACGAAGGGGGCUAGCGUUGCUCGGAAUCACUGGGCGUAAAGCGCACGUAGGCGGGUCGUUAAGUCGGGGGUGAAAUCCUGGAGGCUCAACUCCAGAACUGCCUUUGAUACUGGCGAUCUCGAGUCCGGGAGAGGUGAGUGGAACUGCGAGUGUAGAGGUGAAAUUCGUAGAUAUUGCAAGAACACCAGUGGCGAAGGCGGCUCACUGGCCCGGUACUGACGCUGAGGUGCGAAA